AAAAUACCCCUUCCAUCCGGAAAUACUUGUCAUCAAAAUGAAUAAAAGGGGAUGUAUCUAGAUAUAUUUUAGUUCUAAAUACAUCAUUUUCUAUCCAUCUUGAUGACAAGUAUUUUCAGACGGAGGAAGUACUAA
rfam:Triticum aestivum genome assembly, contig: Triticum_aestivum_CS42_TGACv1_scaffold_485242_6AS